rnacentral:ncRNA from 1 species
ACGCAACUCUGGAGAGUGUUCAUUAGAACCACCAAAGGGGACAGCCUAAAGUAUAGGUAAACUCUCAGGUAAAAAGGACAGAGAU